rnacentral:rRNA from 1 species
UACGUAGGGUGCGAGCGUUGUCCGGAAUUAUUGGGCGUAAAGAGCUUGUAGGCGGUCUGUCGCGUCUGCCGUGAAAUUUCGGGGCUCAACCCCGAACUUGCGGUGGGUACGGGCAGACUAGAGUGUGGUAGGGGAGACUGGAAUUCCCGGUGUAGUGGUGAAAUGCGUAGAUAUCGGGAGGAAUACCAGUGGCGAAGGCGGCUGCCUGGCCUGUUCUUGACGCUGAGGCGCGAAAGCUGGGGGAGCAAACGGG